rnacentral:rRNA from 1 species
AGUGAACGCUGGCGGGAGGAAGAACACAGGCAAGUCGAACGGCAGCACAGUAAGAGCUUGCUCUUACGGGUGGCGAGUGGCGGACGGGUGAGGAAUACAUCGGAAUCUACUUUUUCGUGGGGGAUAACGUAGGGAAACUUACGCUAAUACCGCAUGCGAACUACGGGUGAAAGCAGGGGAUCUUCGGACCUUGCGCGAUUGAAUGAGCCGAUGUCGGAUUAGCUAGUUGGCGGGGUAAAGGCACACCAAGGCGACGAUCCGUAGCUGGUCUGAGAGGAUGAUCAGCCACACUGGAACUGAGACACGGUCCAGACUCCUACGGGAGGCAGCAGUGGGGAAUAUUGGACAAUGGGCGCAAGCCUGAUCCAGCCAUACCGCGUGGGUGAAGAAGGCCUUCGGGUUGUAAAGCCCUUUUGUUGGGAAAGAAAAGCAGCAGGUUAAUACCCCGCUGUUCUGACGGUACCCAAAGAAUAAGCACCGGCUAACUUCGUG